AAUCGCCUAGUCCAGCCAGUAGUUUGUUCCUCUACUUUAUCCUUGUCUGUUUCCAAAACCUGCAGGACAACAUAUAGAUGCCACAGGAAAUGGUUACGAUGAUGUUGAAGAGUUACCUGCUCCUGAAAUUCCUUUUACUUCUGGGAUGAGUGACAAGAGUGAUUCUCCACAAGAGGAAAGUGGUGCCAGGUGUCUUCAGGGAGGUGGGUGGACAGGCAUCUCUCUUGACUCUCCUAGAGAAGCUUCCAACACCAGUAUGGAAGAAAAGGGGUCCCCAUUGGUGUUGGGACAAGAAGAUGCUGGGUACGAUGAUAUUGAACUUAGCCCCAUGGAGUGCCAUUUUUGAAG
rnacentral:lncRNA from 1 species